rnacentral:lncRNA from 1 species
AAACAGAGAAUGGAGGUAUUCUUUUGAGCGUUUCAGCUUCAUUUACAUGUUUGAACUCUCCGCUAACACAAUUUUGAGUGUGUGGGAAAAUGAAGUCGCAUUUCAUUAAGAAUAAUGAAAAGGGCAUUUGGAGUCAGGCUAUCUAUUGUGGUUUGAGGUAGUUGUGCAGCUUUUAAUCAUGGGGACUGCCUUUCAUAUCUAUGUAGUCUUUGCAAAGUGAAGAAAAAUAGAAUCCAUGCUUUCUCAGUGUAUUAGAAUAUGGAAUUUUUCUUUUUGCCUUUUCCAAAGCUUUUUUUAAAAAGUGGUAUUUAUAUUAUGAUAACAAUAUUAAAAAAAGAGGGAUGAGCAUUUUCUUUUCUCAUCAGAUUCACAUUGUUACAAUACUGAAACCUUUUGCCAGUAGCCUUUCAAGGCACUUACUUCUGAUUCGAUUUUUAUUAAGCUUCGGUAAAAAUGAGAGUUGGAGGCUUAUAUCUUUUUAUUACAAAUAUCCUUCAAUUUAGGAUAUGCCCUGGGAACUUUGAUGCUGCGGGUAAGAGACUGCUAAAUAAUCAUCAAAAUUGGAUCCGACAAAACCAUUUAGUAGUGUUCAGUUUACCAAGGCUUAGUGGUACUUUUUUUUCUUUAUCCCAGCAAGUUUUUUGCGUGUCUGGUUUGCUUUUCCCUGAUGUGAGUAAUUAGGCUCUUGUAGCUAAGUUAGGAAACUAAUUUCAGCCACAAUUCACCACUGUACUGAAAGCUGCUUUUCGGAAACAACUUGUGGUACGUGCUAUGGGCCUUAUACAUACCACUUAAAUAACUUAAAAUCAUAUUUUGGACUUUAAUUUGCUUUGACUUUAGGGUCUCCUGGGUUCAGGGACCAUGAAAGAGAAUCCCUAGGCAAAUGGACUAAAAGAAAUUUUCUGUUCUUCUCAGGUUUACCAUCACUUGGGGUUUAUUGCUGCCACAACCACGCUGGCCCCCAAAUGCAUUCUUUUUCUUGAAAAGUAUCCAAGCCUUUAUGCCAAAUCUACUUCUUGUUUCCUCUAACAGCCAGAGGAGGCUAAGAUUUCACUAAAGACUUAAGGAAGAACACCAACAGAGAACGAAAUGGGUAUGAAAAGGAAAAUGCAUGCAGCAUCGUGUUAUCUAGAUCACCAGUUAAAGAACUCUGGGAAGAUGUGAGUGGAGGAGCAUCUGGGGACCACGUCCCUGCUUUCCGAGCUCUCCCAAGUCUUCCCUGGUAUCUGACUGCAUCUUCUGCCUCAAGCUAAGGCUGGUCCCACAUGCAUAGAUUGCAGGGAAGGCUGGCAAUUGGUCCUGUUUGCACAGGAUGCACCAUUUAGAGUUUCCUUUACUGCCCUCAUUUUUCAUGUAUUUGUAGAGCCAGAGUACACUUACCAUCACCAGCAAUGCCCAGAGACAUUCUUAACACACUCUGCUCUUCCUCGGAGGACCUUCCCUCUGAAGCAUGAUGGAGGCAGCCAUGGAGGUGCUCUUCAGAUCCCCCUUAGAGAGAGAACGUGCUGUGAGUGGGGUAGUUUGCUGACAGUCUGGUGCUGAAACUCUGGGAUCUGCCUCACUGUUCCUGUAACAGAGCUAGUGCCCGGUGGGGCUCCUGGGCACACAAGCCUUUCUGUAUCCCUCCUUUCUUAUUUUUAGGCAAUAAAGCCUCAGCCUCCAGGACCUUCCCUGAGUUCCCAAGGGAGCUGCUAAUCAGGGAAGGGAGGGGAUGCAGAGACCAGGGAGGAGCAGUCAAGAGACAGUAGUGCAGCCUUGGGGCAGGGUCCUGGUUCCUCCUCAAGGAAUAUACAUAACAAUAUCUUUGAGUUCUUCUGCAUAAUUAAAACCCCCAACAAAUGAAAAUAACAGAAGACCACCAGAACCAGUCCUGGAGCUGCUAAAUACCAGCUUUGAAGAAUGAAAACUUGUGUCUACCUCAAUCCUUAUCUAUGGCCCUAAUUUCUUCUUCUAAACUACAUAAACCACUUCCUAAUCCUUCCCAAGGGAGGGCACAGUCUUUACGAUAUUAGCCUGCUGGGGCCUCCUUUGCCCGGUAAAGCAGUAAAACUUUUUUUUUUUUCCCCCUCUCCUUCACUCAAAACUUUGUCUCUGCAUUUCUAUUUGGCAGGCUGAGUUUUGGCAACAACAGCUGAGGGGAAUAUCAAAGGAAUGGUUUCAGUGAGCCUAGACUCUUGUGUCUUCCCAUACAAAGAAGAAUGCUAAGUUCCUAAACGCGAGAUAUCUGGUUUUCUUUAAGUAAUAGUCAUUUUUCAAUUUUCUGACAACCUGGUCUUUGUUGCAAAAACUCCGAUAUAUCCUGGCUCCCCCACUUGCCUCCUUGGAAUGGUCCCUCAGAGAGUCCUCUUUCCUGGGCUUUGAAUUUCUCAGUUUUGUCCACCAAAUAAAACAUAACUCUCAACUUUUAAGUUACGAAUUUUUUUUCUCAGUCAACAUUGGUAUAUUGGACCUAAAUGGACAUCAUUACAGAAUCCUACUCCACCUUCCAGAAUCACACUCAAACUCCUUAUCCAGGCUACUGUCCUGUCUGGAACUUUCUUUCUCCUCCUACUCUACUCAUCUCUCAUACUAUAAACUCCUAUAGCAUGCUCCUCAUACAUAUAUACAUUUAAAUUUCUGAUCCUUCCAUCAUGACAAAGCUGGCAGCUCUGCUCAUGUGAAUACAAGAAAGUAAAGAAAGCCCUUCUGCAGAUAUAGGCCUCAACCAAUGCAAGUCAUAAUCCUGCAUCUCAAACAGAGGUUGUGUUUAUAGGCCUCUCUCUAACAUCAGCUAGCUCUAAAGGGCAGCCUGUGAAAAUGUGUGGAGGUGUUUCUACUGGUCAAAUUGACUGGGGAGUACUAAUGUUGCUUAACAUGCAGGUCUGGAGACCCCAAAUGGGCUACAAAGUCCAGGGCAGGUCCAUAUACUAGAAUAGUCCUGGUUUGGGAUUAAUAUAUGCACAGUACUAUAUAUAAAGUAGAUAACCAAUAAGGACCUACUGUAUAACACAGGGAAGUCUACUCUAUAGUCCGUAAUAACCUCUAAGUGCAAAUCACCUGAAAAAAUGUAUGUAUAUAUCUAUUUCUCUAUCUGUCUAUCUACCUACCUAUCUAUCUAAUCUAUUAUCUAUCUGUUUAUCUAUCUAUCUAAACUGAAUCAUUUGGCUGUACACCUGAAACUAACACAACAUAGUAAAUCAACUAUAGU